CCCCCCCCUUUUUUUAAAAACGGGGGAGCCCUUUGUAGUGGAGAAUAAAAAGGGGAGAUGCGAGUAUGAAACGCCCGCCUGGAAAAGAGAGGGGAGAGUGAUGUGGGGGGAAGUGUUUUUUAAAAAAAAAACGACGAGUCCAAGUCCACCGCGACGGGGGCCACCGCCCAUAGAGGGUGAUAGGCCCGUAAGGCCGUUGUUUUUUUUCGCUGACUUCUUUUUUUCCCUAGAGUCGAGUUGCUUGGGAGUGCAGCUCAAAGUGCGUGGUAAGCUCCACGUAAAGCUAAAUAUUACCCCGAGACCGAUAGCAAACAAGUACCGUGGGGGAAAGUUGAAAAGAACUUUGAAGAGAGAGUUCAAGAGUACGUGAAACAGUGUAGUGGUAAACGGAGGGGUUCUCGAAGUAUGAGAUCUGAGGUUCAGACUGACGAUUCUUCUCGCUCUUUUUUUCUCUUAUAUCAGCAAUGACUAGUGAGAGAAGGGUAUUUGUUGAGGAAUUUGACGGUUGCAUUUUUCAGUCUCUUCACACCACGAACCGCUGUUAUUGAACUGGGGACUUUUUAGGAGAAGUUCAUGAGAAAAGAAAAAAUAAGGGAGUAAUUCAUUUUUUUUUUUUCUUUUGUGAGGGCCCCCCUAGGGUUUUAGCUUCAAAGACGGCUGUUUUUUAAAGAAGCUCGUUAUAACAAGAGUUUCUAUAAUUUAAAGAAGACACGGUGGAUGCUACGUAAACAGAGGGAU
rnacentral:rRNA from 1 species